rnacentral:misc_RNA from 1 species
AUCAUCAGGGUCUGCAACAAAAGAAUAGCGCUUUUGAGGUUUCUGCUUUUGGCCAUAGUUUCUUAAAGAACUGUCAAUCUUGGUACCUAGUUCCAAUGGAUCGGAUGGCUGUAAAGCAUUUUUGGCACAAUCAACCAUGUCUUGCACAUUCUCUGGUUUGUCUUUCUUUUUGACACCAUCCUUACUGCUGUACCAUGAAUCUAGAAUUUGGAGUAAUGAACUAUCUUCAUUGUUCAUUCCAGAUUUUGCUAGCCCUCCUUCACGAGUUCCAGUU